GGAUAGCUUAGUGGGUAAAGCAUGAUACUCUUAAUCUUGGGGUUGUGGGUUUGAACCCCACGUGGGUCA